GCCCCGCCCUGCGAGGCCUCUCGCCGCGAGUGUCUGGCGUACUUCCCCGACGCCAGAACGACGCGGAGGGAGACCUGGCCGGACGGGGUCCCUGCC
rfam:Xylanimonas cellulosilytica DSM 15894, complete genome.